UCUCCGUUGGUGAACCAGCGGAGGGAUCAUUACAGGAUCGAAAGACUCCUAUAACCCCUGUGAACUUACUACAAAUACGUUGCUUCGGCGGGUGCCCCGGGUUUCCCGGGGCGUUCAGCCCGCCGGCAGCCUUCAAAUUCUGUUUCUUUGCGUUGGCAUCUCGAGUAUACAAAAAUAAGUUAAAACUUUCAACAACGGAUCUCUUGGUUCUG
rnacentral:misc_RNA from 1 species